rnacentral:rRNA from 1 species
GGAGGGGGUGCAAGCGUUGUUCGGAAUUAUUGGGCGUAAAGAGCGUGUAGGGCGGUUCGGUAAGUCAGAUGUGAAAGCCCUGGGCUCAACCCAGGAAGUGCAUUUGAAACUACCGGACUUGAGUACGGGAGAGGACGGGGGGGGAUUCCCGGUGUAGAGGUGAAAUUCGUAGAUAUCGGGAGGAAUACCAGUGGCGAAGGCGCCCCUCUGGACCGAUACUGACGCUGAGACGCGAAAGCGUGGGGAGCAAACAGGAUUAGAUACCCUGGUAGUCCACGCCGUAAACGAUGAGCACUAGGUGUAGCGGGUAUUGACCCCUGCUGUGCCGUAGCUAACGCAUUAAGUGCUCCGCCUGGGGACUACGGUCGCAAAGACUAA